CGGCCCCGGGUUCCGGCCCAUCUGUCUGCCGCUUCAGGUGCUCCCGCAGUCCCGCUUGCCCCCUCCUCCCCUGCUAGCUCCGCCCCGGCCUGCGUUCACUGGUUCCUCAAAUUCGCCUGCAGCCCAGCGGGGGCGCCGGUCGGGCAGACCGGCGAAGGUGCCGCCACCCACGAAACCCCCGAGUACCGGAGGAGGGGUUCCCCUGGGGUUCGUGCCACGGCGUGGGAAGAGGGCAGGCGGCCACCAGCCCCGGGCGGAGCUCCGGAACUCCAACGAGAGAUGAAACUUGUGAGCCCGCAGGCGGGUCUCUCGUCGGAAAGAUACUUAAUUGCCAGAAAUACAAAUUUAUUUUUCUACAUCCUGCCAUGAACUGUGAGUUUAGAUGACGCCUUUGUGGGUACGCGCUAGCUAUAUCCUUCCUGCCACCAAUAUAUGACUGUUUCCAGUAACCAAUUCUUGACUUAUGUUCAGUAAUUAGUAAUUCCAAUUAUGUGUUUCCUCCACCCUUAUGUAUGAAUGAUUUAUAAAGCUUAUGGGACUGAGAAUGAGAGAAUUGUGAUAGGAGCAGUAUAUUUUGCAAAUAUCUAUCUCUAAAUUGUGACAGUAUCUCUCUACAGUGCCACUCAGCCAUGGCCUAGCUCCUUCAACGAUGACCGGAGCCGCUGGGGGGCUGUAAGGGCAUCAUCCUCAUCAGCUGCAGCUUCCUCCACCAUCCACUUCCGCGCUGCUGUCAACGCCGCUACUUCCAUCAGGAAAGAACAUUUUACUCGAGUAGCUCCCAGUGGUAUGAUAGAGACACACACUGAGAGAAGAGCUGGAUGGUCUUCAGGUCUACACAACGAAGUCGACAUUAGCUGAAGACGAGUAUCGUGAUGGGCAAAGAUGAUUUUCUUGGUGGUCAUAUGGAAGUGAUCUAUUAUGAGGCUGCAUUGCUUGCCCAAAGAGAGCACAUGGUGCAGGUAGGACAUGUAAAUCAGAUAUCCCUUGUCAUCCCAGCACUCCGAGCUAAUUAUUUACUAAUUUCAACGCGCAGUAGAGGCACACACGAUAUAUUGCAGUAAGCCACUCUGUUGAACUGAGAGCAUCUCUAAUAGCAGCCCUAUUUUAGAUCACCAAAAGUGGUUGGAGUACAAAAUUUGGGCACCAAAACUUGCUUUUUUUUGGGCACGAAAAAGUGGCGUGUCCAACAGCAGCCAUAUAAUAAGGCACAACUGCUCCAACAGCUGCCUUAAAAUAGUGCAGCCGCACGCAUCACAACUUGUUGUCCAUAUUUUCUUUUUUGAGGAUGUGUCGCCCACAUUUUACAUACGGCAUAACAAAAUGUAUGAACUAGUUGGCAUUGCCUAAAAAGGAAGGAUGAAUAACCAUCAGUUCACUCUGAAAAUGUAAUAAUUCAACGUUCAUUUGCCUUUUCUGGUAUUACUAUUUGUAGAAUUCAAGUUUGAAUGGUGGACUGACAAAUUGACUAAUAAAGCCUAAUAGAGAUUCACAUUCCUAGAACUGUAACAUUUGGUAUGUAUCGAUACCAGUGAGUGAGCAUGUAGUUUGUGACAUGGACUAUGUAGCUUUACGGAAGUGGGAUAAAAUCUUGUUUAUAGUUGAGAGAAACUUGAGAAGCUAGGGUGGACCUACCUUGAGUCCUGCAGAGAAGACCCUGGGGGGACAGCGUCGAAUCCUACAGAGCAUCCAAACUGCUGGUGUACAAAUUCAGAAUGGUACGAGAGUCAGA